AGGCAGCAGUGAGGAAUAUUGGUCAAUGGGCGCGAGCCUGAACCAGCCAAGUCGCGUGAGGGAAGACGGUCCUAUGGAUUGUAAACCUCUUUUGUCGGGGAGCAAAGAAGUCACGUGUGACUAAAAGUGAGAGUACCCGAAGAAAAAGCAUCGGCUAACUCCGUGCC
rnacentral:rRNA from 1 species